rnacentral:snRNA from 1 species
GUGCCUUAAACUAAUGAGUAAGGAAAAUAACGAGCCGGAUUGACGCCCGGCUCAACCGUACUCGCAAUACGGUCGGAAUUUUUGUGGGGGCACAGGUCGUCCCAGGGGCGUCCCGCCUACUUUUGCGGGGUGCUCGGGUUGUAGCGAUCUGCCCC